rnacentral:rRNA from 1 species
UGGGGGAAUUUUUGGGACAAUGGGGGGAAACCCCUGAUCCAGCCAUCCCGCGUGUGCGGUGAAGGCCUUCGGGUUGUAAAGCACUUUUGGCAGGAAAGAAACGUCGCGGGUUAAUACCCCGCGAAACUGACGGUACCUGCAGAAUAAGCACCGGCUAACUACGUGCCAGCAGCCGCGGUAAUACGUAGGGUGCAAGCGUUAAUCGGAAUUACCGGGCGUAAAGCGUGCGCAGGCGGUUCGGAAAGAAAGAUGUGAAAUCCCAGAGCUUAACUUUGGAACUGCAUUUUUAACUACCGGGCUAGAGUGUGUCAGAGGGAGGUGGAAUUCCGCGUGUAGCAGUGAAAUGCGUAGAUAUGCGGAGGAACACCGAUGGCGAAGGCAGCCUCCUGGGGAUAACACUGACGCUCAUGCACGAAAGCGUGGGGAGCAAACAGGAUUAGAUACCCUGGUAGUCCACGCCCUAAACGAUGUCAACUAGCUGUUGGGGGCCUUCGGGCCUUGGUAGCGCAGCUAACGCGUGAAGUUGACCGCCUGGGGAGUACGGUCGCAAGAUU